CGGGGGGAGCAAGCGUUGUUCGGAUUACUGGGCGUAAAGGGCGCGUAGGCGGCCACCGCAAGUCGACUGUGAAAUCUCCGGGCUUAACCCGGAAAGGUCAGCCGAUACUGCGGGGCUAGAGUGCAGAAGGGGCAACUGGAAUUCUCGGUGUAGCGGUGAAAUGCGUAGAUAUCGAGAGGAACACCUGCGGCGAAGGCGGGUUGCUGGGCUGACACUGACGCUGAUGCGCGAAAGCUAGGGGAGCGAACGGGAUUAGAUACCCCGGUAGUCCUAGCCUUAAACGAUGAAUGCUUGGUGUCUGGGGUUUUAUAGUCCCCGGGUGCCGUCGCUAACGCUUUAAGCAUUCCGCCUGGGGAGUACGGUCGCAAGACUG
rnacentral:rRNA from 1 species